UUUUUUAGAGGUAAUGAUUGUGAUAUACCCAGCUCAUUAUGAGGCCUUACACUAGGUCUGGGAGAAAAUUUUCAUUCACAUUUCUGAGCUAAAUU
rfam:Amborella trichopoda AMTR_V1.0_contig_26586, whole genome shotgun sequence.